UUUGAGGGGAAUGUUGGCUGGCUCGAGGCUUUGGCAAAUAUAAACGUUUGAAACUCUCAAGAGUCAAGGCUUCGGACCAGGCUUCAUUCCUCUCAAA
rnacentral:pre_miRNA from 2 species